rnacentral:miRNA from 1 species
AAGUCCGAGUUAAAUUUGAAUUUCAGAUAAAAACAAUGUUUUGCCUAAGUAUAUCCCAUGCAAUAUUUGGGACAUACUUACACUAAAAAAGAAUUCAUUUUUUAUCUGAAAUUAAAAUUGACCUGGGCAUCUUAUAUUUU